ACGCUUUUAGUUCAGUGGGUAGAACGCAGGUUUCCAAAACCUGAUGUCGUGGGUUUAAUUUCUACAGGGCGUG
rnacentral:tRNA from 1 species